AAAGAAAGGAAGGUAGGUUCCAAGAAGAAGGGACGCUGUGCCUCUUGCCAGGGCACAUAAAACAUUUUUAAAGGAUGAGAUCAAAGCUCAAAAGUUAGCCCCUUCCCAGGACACUGCCUAGUCUUAAUGGCUAUGUCGACCUUAUUGUAUAUAUAUAUAAAUAUAAAUACUUUUUAUAGCUGUAUCCGCAAGCACAAGCGCCUUUCGAUCGCCCCUAUAAAUACCCUUCAUACGUACACAAACCCCAUCGUCAAUUCAAAUUCGGAAACAUUCACUUGUCACCAAGAAAUAAAAGCAAAAGCAACUUCACCUUCUCAUUAUGGCUUCAAUUUCCCAUUUCAACAUUUUUGUUUCACUUCUUGUGCUAUUCUCUAUGCUUCACCCUGCUCUAGCUACAACAAGAAAACUUGCUGCUCUGGUUCAAGAACAACCUCUUCUGCUUUAACACAACGGCCCACUUCUUAAAGGCAAUGUCACCAUUAAUCUAAUUUGGUAUGGCAAGUUCUCUCCGAUCCAGCGCUCCAUAAUCGUUAACUUUCUCAACUCUCUCUAUUGGGUCAAAGCUCCAUCGCCUUCAGUAUCGUCCUGGUGGGAGACUACCGGAAUGUCAGAGGAGGUCCAUGCUCCGUCAUCGUAGGGAAUCAGGUGCUUGAUGAGAAUUACUUUCUUGGAAAAUCACUCAAAAUGCCACAGCUUGUAACGUUGGCCUCCAGAGCUAGCCAAGGUAAAAAUCCAAUCAAUUUCGUUUUUACAUCUGCUGAUGUGGCGAUUGAGGGAUUUUGCACGAGUCGAUGUGGGGCACAUGGAUCGGGUGCGGGCAAUGGCGAGUUCGCCUAUGCUUGGGUAGGUAACUCACUGACUCAGUGCCUCGGUCAGUGCGCAUGGCCUUUCCACCAGCCCAUUUACGGACCGCAAAAUCCCCCUUUGGUCUCUCCCAGUGGCGAUAUUGGAAUUGACGGAAUGAUCAUUAAUUUGGCCACGGUUUUGGCAGGAACGGUGACGAAUCCUUUUAGUAACGGUUACUUUCAGGGGAGUGCCGAAGCCCCUCUGGAGGCAGUGAGCGCGUGCACGGGCAUUUUUGGGAAAGGAGCAUACUCGGGAUAUCCUGGGGAGGUUCUGGUGGACAAAAUCACAGGAGCUGGCUACAACGCAUUUGGUAUGAACGGGCGCAAGUAUCUGCUCCCUGCAAUGUGGGACCCGCAAACCUC
rnacentral:misc_RNA from 1 species